UACGUAGGGUGCGAGCGUUGUCCGGAAUUAUUGGGCGUAAAGAGCUUGUAGGCGGUCUGUCGCGUCUGCUGUGAAAAUCCGGGGCUCAACCCCGGACUUGCAGUGGGUACGGGCAGACUAGAGUGUGGUAGGGGAGACUGGAAUUCCUGGUGUAGCGGUGAAAUGCGCAGAUAUCAGGAGGAACACCGAUGGCGAAGGCAGGUCUCUGGGCCACUACUGACGCUGAGAAGCGAAGGCAUGGGGAGCGAACAGG
rnacentral:rRNA from 1 species